GAUGAACGCUAGCUACAUGCUUAACACAUGCAAGUCGAGGGGAAACGACAUCGAAAGCUUGCUUUUGAUGGGCGUCGACCGGCGCACGGGUGAGUAACGCGUAUCCAACCUGCCAUCACAUGGGGAUAAACUUGCGAAAGUUAGACCAAAACCCCAAGAUAUCCCUAGGAGACAUUUGAAAGAGAUUAAAGAUUUAUUGGGGAUGGAGGGGGAUGCGUCGGAUUUGCUUGUUGGCGGGGUAACGGCCCACCAAGGAAACGAGCAGUAGGGGGUCUGAGAGGAAGGUCCCCCACAUUGGAACCGAGACACGGACCAAACUCCUACGGGAGGCAGCAGUGAGGAAGAUUGGUCAAUGGGCGAGAGCCUGAACCAGCCAAGUAGCGUGCAGGAAGCCGGCCCUAUGGGUUGUAAACUGCUUUUAUAAGGGAAUAAAGUGAGAGUCGUGACUCUUUUUGUAUGUACCUUAUGAAUAAGGACCGGCUAAUUACGUG
rnacentral:rRNA from 1 species